rnacentral:rRNA from 1 species
UACGUAGGUGGCAAGCGUUAUCCGGAAUUAUUGGGCGUAAAGCGCGCGUAGGCGGUUUUUUAAGUCUGAUGUGAAAGCCCACGGCUCAACCGUGGAGGGUCAUUGGAGACUGGAAAACUUGAGUGCAGAAGAGGAAAGUGGAAUUCCAUGUGUAGCGGUGAAAUGCGCAGAGAUAUGGAGGAACACCAGUGGCGAAGGCGACUUUCUGGUCUGUAACUGACGCUGAUGUGCGAAAGCGUGGGGAUCAAACAGGAUUAGAUACCCUG